rnacentral:lncRNA from 1 species
CAAGCCUGUAGUUCCAGCUACUCGGGAGGCUGAGGUGAAAGGAUCACUUGAGCCUGGGAGGUCAAGGCUGCAGUAAGCUGAUAUCACGCCAAUGGACUCCAGCCUGGUGGCGCGAUCUCGGCUCACUGCAACCUCCGCCUCCUGGGUUCAAGCGAUUGUCCUGCCUCAGCCUCGAGUAGCUGGGACUACAGGCGCAUGCCACCACACCCGGCUAAUUUUUGUAUUUUUAGUAGAGAUGGGGCUUCACCAUGUUGGCCAGGCUGGUCUUGAACUCCUGACCUCAGGUGAUCCACCUGCCUCGGCCUCCCAAAGUGCUGGGUUAACAGGCAUGAGCCACCGUGCCUGGCCCUCUCCUUAUUUAAUAUAUCAUAUAUAGCAUCUCUGCUUUGUCCUAUUUAUCAAAAAACAUUAUUUUUCCUUUGUUAGGUCCUCGAUCUUAUCAUCUAACCAUUUUUAAACUACAAAUUUGUAUUUUAGAAAUAUUUGGUCUAGCAAAAUGGCUCCGAAGCAAAAAUCAGGACUCUUUUGCUUCAGAAUAACAAAAAUAUACCCUCAAGCUAGUUCAUCAAACAGGCCAGUUAGGCUAUGGAAUGAACAAACAGGAAGGAAAGGGUAUUGCCACCUCAGGGAAUACUGUCACAGAACUCUUCCUCCCUGUACCUAUUUUUCCCUCCUCUCUCUCUGACUUCAUUCUUUCCAACUGCAAACCAGCUUUUCAAUGAAAAAUGAGCUAUCCUGAGAUGCCUAUUUUCCCAGUUUCACCACCAAAAGGAAAAGCCCUCUAUUUUCUAGAUUCAACCUGAGAAAUUCUGGGGAAGGAUUCAAAUGCUUCAGUAAGGUGUCCUGCGGUGAUACCAACUUGAGAUAACUUAAAUUUAUUUUAUGGCUUGAGGUUUCUAACUAUGCCAUGCUAUUCUUAUCCCAAAACUAUGUGAGGAUUGAUGUAUAGUUGUGAAUUGUUGAGUUCUGUGCCUGGCCUACAGAUUAACCAGUUACAAAAAGGUUAGAAAUUCUGAUCAGUCUACUUUUGGUCAGUAUGUCCCUCAACUUACUUAUCACUGUGGCCAAGAAGGUGAGUUUAUGUAAAGAUAUGGCAUCUGCCGUUCAACCACAGUUAAGGGUAAAAGGGACUGAGGUCAGAAAAAAGGAAUUCCUCAGAAGAAGCAGGUAUUCUUGUCCAAGGAACAGGUGCUAGACAGUGGAAACAUAAAAAUCCAACUCAAACCAAAUAAAGUAUAGACUAAAUUGACAUUGAUACAUUCUCACAAACAGAUAUUAUACAGCUCCUAAGAACUUUACAGGAGAAUAUUUAAUAAUAUGAAAAUAUGCUCAUAAUACUUUAAGUGAUAAAAAGCAAUUUUUAAAAUUAUGAAAAUUAUUCCAUUUUAAGGAGGCAAAUAUAUUUCUAAAAAUACAUGUACAUGGGCCAGGCACGGUGGCUCACGUCUGUAAUCCCAGCAAUUUGGGAGGCUGAGGUGGGCGGAUCAUGAGGUUAGGAGAUCGAGACCAUCCUGGCUAACACAGUGAAACCCCCUCUGAUAAAAAUACAAAAAAUUAGCCAGGUGUGGUGCAGGCGCCUAUAAUCCCAGCUACUCAGGAGUCUGAGGCAGGAGAAUGGCAUGAACCUGGGAGGCGGAGCUUGCAGUGAGCUGAGAUUUUGCAACUGCACUCCAGCCUGGGCUACAGAGCAAGACUCCACCUCAAAAAAAAAAAAAAUACAUGUACAUGUAGAAAAAAGACUGGAAGGUGAUACAUGAAAAUGUCAAUACGAUCUCAGUCUUUACCUACUGAACAGAGGAUGUUGUACACUGAUUACAUUUACCCUUUUCUUCCAUAGGAUCAUAGAAGUGUUCCUAUUAGGGAGAAUUCAGGCCGUCUCAAUGUGAGUGCAUAACUAUUUCAAAAUCAUUUCAAAUACCUAUUUUAUUACAUACUCAGUUAACUUGUUUCCCUAUUCAUUUUCAAAUUCCCCAGAUGAACUUUCAUUUUCUGUUUAUCUUCAUUUCCUAAUUUCAUUUUGCAUCUUGUUCCCCUUUGAGGUAUAUAUCAGACUGAUCUAUCCCAUACUUCUAAAAUUCUUCAAAAUUUCUUUUUGCCUUCUAUUUUUAUGGCUUUACAACUUGCUUUGACUCUUGCUCCAAGUCUCCAGUGAUAUUAUCCGAGCCAUAUCAGGUUUUAAGAGUCAAAUCAGUGUUUCUUUUUCUACUUUCAUGACUAGUGUCCUACAAGCACUUGUGGUAGCAUAGUUUGUAAGAGCAAAAAAAUGCAAAAUUUACCUAAUUUUUAUCAACAGUGAAAUAGAGAAUAUGAUACCAUUUUAUUCAUUCUAUUUAGUGGAAUACUGCAUAAUACG